rnacentral:ncRNA from 2 species
AAUCAUUUUAUUCUAGUGAUUGUAUUAGAAUUUUACAUUAUGUAGACAUGGAGUUUUUAGAGAAUCCAGCUAUUAAGAUUAAAAAAUGCAAGAAAUUGUAAAUUAGUAAAGUAAGAAAUACCAUUAACAAAACAGGUGCCAGCAGUUGCGGUCAUACCUGAAAUGGUUUAAUACACGUAGAUAGGCUGUCACAUUAAAACCAAAGGCCAAGAACUACAAAAUAGUAAAAUGUGUGUAGUUUUGUAUUGACUUAUCCUUUGGAUGUUGUGUUUUUUGAGCCGAAACUUUAUAAAUUUCGUAAACUAGGAUUAGAUACCCUACUAUAAAGAGCAAAAAUUACAAAUCUAGGCACUAAAACCACGAUGGUUAAAACUUAAAGAUUAUGGCGGCAGCUUAAAACACUCAGGGGAACUUACCAGGUAAUCGAUAGCACCCGUGAUAGCGUCACUCACCCUAAUAACAUAUAUAUUGCCGUUUAGGGUUUAGUUGAAGUAAACCCCUUAAUGGAAACCCCAAUAAAACAGGUCAUAAUGUAGUAUAUGGGUGAGACUUAAGGUGAGUUACAAUAUUAAUUUUAUUUCGGAUCUUGGGAUUAAAUAUCCUAAAAUAAGUUGGACUUGAAAGUAAUGAAUAUGUGUUGAUACUUCUUGAAUAUCAGUUUAAGGUGUGCACAAAUCGCCCGUCGCUCUAGUAAUAACAUCAAUAGGUGUUAAAACUAGAUAAGUCGUAACACAGUAGGUGUAAAUGAAUUUGCACCU